AUUGAACGCUGGCGGCAGGCCUAACACAUGCAAGUCGAGCGGAUGAGAGGAGCUUGCUCCUGGAUUCAGCGGCGGACGGGUGAGUAAUGCCUAGGAAUCUGCCUGGUAGUGGGGGACAACGUUUCGAAAGGAACGCUAAUACCGCAUACGUCCUACGGGAGAAAGCAGGGGACCUUCGGGCCUUGCGCUAUCAGAUG
rnacentral:rRNA from 1 species